CCUACGGGAGGCAGCAGUGAGGAAUAUUGGUCAAUGGACGUAAGGCUGAACCAGCCAAGUAGCGUGAGGGAUGACUGCCCUAUGGGUUGUAAACUUCUUUUAUGCGGGGAUAAAGUUCUCCACGUGUGGAUUUUUGCAUGUACCGCAUGAAUAAGGACCGGCUAAUUCCGUGCCAGCAGCCGCGGUAAUACGGAAGGUCCGGGCGUUAUCCGGAUUUAUUGGGUUUAAAGGGAGCGUAGGCGGGUUUUUAAGCGUGCCGUGAAAUUUUGUGGCUCAACCAUGAAAGUGCAGCGCGAACUGGCGGCCUUGAGUGCGCGGAAGGCAGGCGGAAUUCGUGGUGUAGCGGUGAAAUGCUUAGAUAUCACGAAGAACCCCGAUUGCGAAGGCAGCCUGCCGCAGCGUAACUGACGCUGAAGCUCGAAAGCGCGGGUAUCGAACAGGAUUAGAUACCCCUGUAGUC
rnacentral:rRNA from 1 species